rnacentral:rRNA from 1 species
CCAAUAGCGUAUAUUAAAGUUGUUGCAGUUAAAAAGCUCGUAGUUGAAUUUCGGGAUCAGUAGGUUGGUCAUGCCUUUGGUAUGUACUGGUCUCACUGAUUCCUCCCUCUUGAAGAACCGUAAUGUCAUUAAUUUGAUGUUGCGGGGAAACAGGACUGUUACUUUGAAAAAAUUAGAGUGUUUAAAGCAGGCUCACGCUUGAAUACAUUAGCAUGGAAUAAUGAAAUAGGACGUUCGAUCCUAUUUUGUUGGUUUCUAGGAUUGACGUAAUGAUUAAUAGGGAUAGUUGGGGGCAUUAGUAUUCAAUUGUCAGAGGUGAAAUUCUUGGAUUUAUUGAAGACUAACUACUGCGAAAGCAUUUGCCAAGGAUGUUUUCAUUAAUCAAGAACGAAAGUUAGGGGAUCGAAGACGAUCAGAUACCGUCGUAGUCUUAACCAUAAACUAUGCCGACUAGGGAUCGGAUGAUGUUAAUUUUUUAAUGACUCAUUCGGCGCCUUACG